CUCAGGCUGUGACCCUCUAGAGGGAAGCGCUUUCUGUUGCUUGAAAGAAGGGAAAUCGCUUCCUUUUAGAGGAUUACUCUUGGAG
rnacentral:pre_miRNA from 1 species